GCCGCUCCGGAAGCGGGGGACGGUCCUUCCCAACCUCGAUGAAACAGCCUCCACUUCUUCGGGGCUCAUAAUGAUGGAGCUUGAAGGAUGAUCAGAUUCAACUAGAGAUGACCCUUCAGUUUCCUGCCUAGAGGGUGCAGAUCUGGUUGUAAACGUUCUUGGAGCCGAAUGGAGGAAAAGGACUCAGGAUCUAAUGUGCACUUUGCACAGUGCAGAGACCCAAAAACACCUGUUCUUUGUCAGGUAAAGUUAUCUGACAGCCAGCAAGAGGAAGCAACUGGAGGUUGUGCUUCACUAAAAUGAGAGACUAAACAAAGAAAAAAGGAGACAUGGGAUAUAAGAAACAGAAGAUCUAACACAGGGGAAAAAUGAAGUAUGAUGCCCUGACAACAACUAUGCACUCGACAUCGAUUGGUGUAGGUCAGAAGGCUCCAGAAGAGACUCCUUCAGAAAGGUGAAACUGAUAGAACACCUCAUCUAUCUAAAUCUCUGGAGGGAGAGAUUUAAACAAUCAUUAAGAAGUUUGGGUUUGACUUAGUGGUGAAGAAUAAGCCAAAAUAAGAUAAUCAUUAACUGCAGGAAAAACAGAAAGCUGAGCAGAAGAGAAGGAAUCAUAGUAUACUAUUUUUGCCCAACAUGUUGAGUAAUGUUUACCUGGUAAUGAUGAAGUAAACACAAAUCUUUUUUUUUUUAAGUACAAUAUAACUAGAUUGGACAGGUAAAGGGAUGGGAAGUGUGGUGGGGGUGGCGGAAGGGUUGGGAGAAGGAAGAAGAGCUAAAUCUUCAUUUUCCAUUAAGUGAAGUCAAUAGGUAAUGCCUAAAAGUGAAAAAUCAAGAAAUAGCAAUACAAACAUUUUAUAUGGAGAAAUGAAGGUAAAUACCAAAAUAAGCAGUUGAAAGAGAUGAAAUGACUGCCUUUGAGGAGAGGGAACAAGGUAAGGGAAAGACUGGAGUCACAGUCUCUGCUGAUUCAUUGUAAAACUUAACAAGGCUUCUACAGAAUUAUUUGACCCUAAAUCACAGGCAUGUAUAACUCUGAUAAAAAUAAAAAAUAAAAUUAAAGGAGUAAAAAGAUUCUCUAAACCCAAAUGUUUGCUUCUGAAGAAUUCACUUCCUGGUAAAGGAAAUACAAAUGAAAAUCUAUAAUUUAAGAUUGAGUGCAGUGGGUUCAACAAUGGAAAUGUUUGCAUGACUGGGGGAGCACAGAAAACAGCUACUCUCUGGGGAGUGGAGAGAGACACCUAAGAUGGACACAACUCCAGGCAAUAAUAAGGACAAAAUAGGAGAUAAAUUGUGUGCGCUAGGCUCUUAGCAAUCCAUAGUGCUGGUGUGGGGUGAAAAGCAAGAUCCGAAUAUUAUACAUGUUUGGCUGUAAUUUUUUAAAGUCAAGUAGAACAUUAAACUGUUAAAUGUUUAUUAGAGGGAGUUGGUAUGGGGGAGAGGCUCUGAACACAUUUUAACUAUACAAACCAAUAAAGGGCUGCCAUUUUG